AUAAAAACUUCCAUAAAACUCUGAACACCAAGGCUCAGAAACUUGAAUUGAAUACAGAACCCUGAGCUCCUUCUUUGAGAUUUGUCUGAAUUGUCUGGGCUCCCAGGCCACAUCAGAGAGACCAGCACCCUGUUCUUUCCAGGUUGGCAGCUGAGAUCUGGCCUGCAUGCACAGAAUACUAUGAGCAACAGCUUAAAACACAAAAGUGAGAUGAUGGAUGUCCUUAUAGAAGACAGAAAAGCAGAAGGCACACACAGACACAUGUUGAAGAGGCAGAGAUUGAAUUGAUGAAGCCACAAGCCAAAAACACCAAGGACACUCAUCAUUGGAUUUAAGCCCCACCAUAAUCUAUGAUGAUUUCACUUCACCUUUAUCAUAUCUGCAAAGACUCUUAUCCCAAAUAAGGUCAUAUUCUGAGGUUCUGGGUGGAUAUAGCUUUUGAGGGAGCAUCAAUCAAUAUGCUACAGUGCUGGUUAAAACAUCCAAUACCACUAGCAAAGGAAUUGUUUAUAUAAAAAAAUUCCUUCAGUGUACUCUGAGAAGGCAGCUGAGUGUCAAAAUUAAUAAAAGGAACUAUAUUAGAGCUGGGAGGCCAGAAUGGGAAGCUUCACACACAUACCACUCCAUGGCAAUACAAAUCUUAAUAGGAAGACACCUGCUUUGCAUCUCUGGCUGAAAAUGACCCUACUUUACCCACUGCCAGCAUGAGGAAGAAAGAUGUUUUUCUCCUUGUUUGGCAACAGCACAACAAACGUGACAUUGUCACAACUCAGCCAAUGAAAAGUCACUAUACUUCAGUGGACUUAUUGUAACAGCCCAUCCCAACAUCUUUUUUUCUGUAAAAGGUUUCCUCUCCUUUAUAGGACUUGCAUGUGGUUCACCAUAAUUGCAGUUCUUUGCUGCCCCCCCCCCAAUAAACUCAUUUUUGCUGG
ensembl:lncRNA